GACGAACGCUGGCGGCGUGCUUAACACAUGCAAGUCGAACGGAAAGGCCCUGCUUUUGUGGGGUGCUCGAGUGGCGAACGGGUGAGUAACACGUGAGUAACCUGCCCUUGACUUUGGGAUAACUUCAGGAAACUGGGGCUAAUACCGGAUAGGAGCUCCUGCUGCAUGGUGGGGGUUGGAAAGUUUCGGCGGUGGGGGAUGGACGCGCGGCUUAUCAGCUUGUUGGUGGGGGAGUGGCUUACCAAGGCUUUGGCGGGUAGCCGGCCUGGGUGGGUGACCAGCCACAUUGGGACUGAGGUACGGCGCAGACUCCUACGUUAGGCAGCAGUGGGGAAUAUUGCACAAUGGGCGGAAGCCUGAUGCAGCAACGCCGCGUGCGGGAUGACGGCCUUCGGGUUGUAAACCGCUUUCGCCUGUGACGAAGCGUGAGUGACGGUAAUGGGUAAAGAAGCACCGGCUAACUACGUG
rnacentral:rRNA from 1 species